rnacentral:rRNA from 1 species
GACGAACGCUAGCGGCAGGCUUAACACAUGCAAGUCGAGGGGCAGCGCGAUGUAGCAAUACAUUGGCGGCGACCGGCGCACGGGUGCGUAACACGUAUGGAAUCUGCCCUUUACUGGGGGAUAGCCCGGAGAAAUCCGGAUUAAUACCCCAUAACAAUCGAGGUGGCAUCACCUUGAUUUGAAAGCUCCGGCGGUAAAGGAUGACCAUGCGCACGAUUAGCUAGUAGGUGAGGUAACGGCUCACCUAGGCUACGAUCGUUAGGGGGCCUGAGAGGGUUAUCCCCCACACUGGUACUGAGACACGGACCAGACUCCUACGGGAGGCAGCAGUGAGGAAUAUUGCGCAAUGGAGGCAACUCUGACGCAGCCAUGCCGCGUGCAGGAAGAAGGCGCUACGCGUUGUAAACUGCUUUUAACCGGGAAGAAACCCCUCUACGUGUGGAGGGUUGACGGUACCGGAGGAAUAAGCACCGGCUAACUUCGUG